UCAUGUUUUAAAGGAAAAGGGGCCACAGACACAGAAUAUUUUCUAUAAGAUCGACAAUAUAAAAUCGUUUCUGUCUCUGAAGGAAAGAGUUCCACUUGGAAGAGAAUUUGACUGGACUAAUGAAUCUCCACUCGUCGUGGCCGCUUUGUUAAAGGAUUGUCUUCGACUGAUCCCCAGUACUAUUUUUACGAAACAACUAUACUGUAAAUGGUUUAGUAUUAUUGACAAAGAGGAUGAAGAGAAAGCCACGGAAAUCAAGAGGCUCUUAGAAAAUCUGCCCUUAUGUAAUCUGGAUAUACUCAAGGAGUUGUGCUCAUGUUUACAUGAGAUCUCUCAAAAUGCCUCCAUGAACAUGAUGAAUGCAUCAGAGUUAGCAGUUUCGAUCACACCAAGCAUAUUUUACCUUUGGGAAGCAACAUCAAUAAACUCAUCCCUGGAAAUGGAAUUACUUAAAAAGAUUUCUAUUGUAGAGUUUUUUAUCAGAAACUAUCCGCAGAUAUUUGAGGACCAGAAUGACUCGUCACUAAGGAACAGUUCAGAACAUUCUAGACUGAGCUUUGGGGAUAGCAUGGAAUAUAUCAGUACAUUGUGUACUUCAGAAGAAAGUUCAGUAUCAAGUGAAAACACAGAUGUUCAAUUUGCGGAAUCUCAAGAACCGAGCUUGCAGAGUCCCGGACCUGCUGCCGAACCACCAUCGGAACCGAGCUUGCAGAGUCCCGGACCUGCUGCCGAACCAC